AACAUGUCACGCGUUGCAAACUGCGGAAUAGAAUCGUACCGCCCCAACUAAGAAAAAAAAUUCAUACAACAAAAUACAACAAUCAAGCCAAGCAUCCAAAAUUAAGUUUUACACAUUUUCCAGCUUCAAGUGGCAAUCCAAAAUAAAAAGUACAUUAUCCAAAUUUAACACACUACAGCCCACACAAAUAGUCAUAGUAUACAAAUACAUCCCAAAACGAAACAUGGAUAAGUUUCAAAACUUUCAAUUUCCAGAACCUGUCAAGGAAAACAAAUAAACGUGGGGUGAGCUAAAGCUCAGUGGUGCCCCAAAACAUGCAGUCACGUAAAUCAAACAGCGAGUAAUAACUUAACCAAAUUGAACAGUUAGGAAAGCAUAUAACAGCACAAGGUAGGAUACAGGGGCUCUCAGGAGCCAUUUUCCUCUCUUGAUCACCAUUCAUCGUAGUUGACCCUCCGUCAACUCUCACUACUUAUAGUCCAUGUAGAUCCACUCAUUUUAAUCCUAACCCGUCACCGUUCUUACCCCUGUCUCGGGCCCGAACACCGACUAAGGACGCAGUAUACUCGAGAUAUACCCGUAGAUGAUUGGUCGAGGGAUUCACCCAACGACGUUAUUGUAGUUAGAUUCAUGCGUCGAGGGAUUUACCCAACGACGUGAUUGUAGUUAGAUUCAUGCGUCGAGAGAUUCACUCAACGACGUGAUUGCAGUCAGAUUCAUGCGUCGAGGGAUUCACCCAACGACGUUACUGCGUUUAGAUUCAUGAGAAAAUGAUUCACGCAAGUCACUACUCGAACGGCUAGUGCGAUAAAGUACACACUGCUCACUUCGAUGGAUCAAAAACUAGUUUUGCAAGUAUCACAUUUCAAGUCAAGAAAGCACUUUAAUCAAGUAGGAAUAGAACAAGCAGGGACACUCACCAAGAGUGAAGUUCAGAUGUCAAGUUGGAAAUCGAAUUCCGCGUCCUCGCAAUAUCCUAAAAUACCAAAUUUUGAAACUAUAAGUUUUCUAUUCAAUUUUUAAACUUAUUCGUAUAGGGAAUUAUCUAAUAUAUUACUAGUUUACUUUCUCAAGUAAUUUCAAAAAUCUACUUAGGUUGAAACUUGACAAAAGUAGUAAAAAUGUUUCUUAUAGUUUUCCUUGAGAUAUUUUUCCUUAGAAAAGGGUAACUAGUAUUAUUUUCUUGAAACAAUUCGACCAUCCACUUAGGAUUGAAAUUUAGUAAAAGUAGGAAAUGUUUUAUAUGGCUUUCCUUAAAAAUAUGUUUCUCUAUACGAGUGCGGCUAGUACUAUUUUAUUUAGAAUAAGUUUUCUUGCCGAGGAAGUUUUCUGCUAUUUUUAGUUAAAGUCACUAAAAUAUUGUAUUUUGGAAAUUUUCCUCUAGACAAUUAGCCAGGGACAAUUUUAAGGAAAGAAAAGGAAAUAGAUCAAGACUUAGGGUUUUAAAACUAGUGAAAUCAUUUUCUAAAAGUAAUAAGGCUAGUUUACGCUUAAAGGAGAAAUAUCGAGUUGGCAAGGUUUAGAAAAUCCCUACAUGAAAUUUCUAACGUUAACAUACAGUGCUAAGUUUUAUCGUACCAUACUAGAGUGAAGAUAUAUUUAAAUAGCUUGCUUAAAAAAAAAAACUUCUCAAGUUCACAGGACCAAAAUGGAUUCCUCACGAUUCCGAUUUACAAGCACAUAAUAUUUCAGAUUUGUCAAUAUAACCAACUCACAUUUCAAAUAGAAAUCUCACUAGGGCUUCGUCAAUCAUUAGCCCUAAGUUUCAACAGAUUCAAUUCUGAUCAAGAAUAAAACGAAUGACCAAGGUUUCGUCAAUCAUUAGCACUUGAUUUUGGCAAGCUCAUGUCACAUCUUGACUAAAUCAAAAUGAAGGUAAGGCCUCCAAGAAAUUCCAGCAAUUAAAUUUCAUCACCCUUUAAUACUUAUAAAAUCAUUCAAAUGGCCAAGAGCUUCGUCAAUCAUUAGCUCUGGACAUCAAGCAAUCACUUUCUACUACAAUUCAAACAGAAAUUCAACUCAAAACCAAGAGAAAAGUCACGACUAACUUAACUCUUAAAUAACUCUAGUUCCACAAAUCAAACAAUUGUGAAAGUUAUACUGUUGUAAAAUAGAUUUUUAGUACUAUCACAUCCCAGAAGACACUUUUCAGAGAUUCAAAUCACAAAUAGGCCAAAUGUUUGAUCCAGGUCAAAAUUCAGUUUCAUGAAGAAACAGGACAUUCAAGCAGGACAGCCUGCUUUGAGGAGUCACGGACAGCAGUACACAUGGAGAAAAAAUAUGAAAUUUCUACAGAACAAAGGUCCAUGACUCUAGUUUCAAAUGCCACUGACGGCACCUUAAUCGGAUUUUCCUACACCAAGAUAUAAGCAUUUUACUGAGACUGGUCAGUGAAAUCCGAAAAUCUGGAAACUUAUUUUUCACUUGUGAAAAACUCCUUUUUCUCUUUUAAAACCAUAAGGUUUUUAUUCAAACCAUCCAUAGAUUUAAGUAUGACAUACAUACCAGCAUAUACCAAGGCAAAUAACGUCUAAUUCCAGUAAAUGGUUCAGUCAAUAAAUCAUAUAUAUACUAAUCUGUCAUCAGCUAAGUACAACAGUCACCAAUUGGCAAUUCAACGUACGGUUACUUCCUUAAUUUCUCCUUUGUUAAUACUAACUUGACAUGCAGAGGAUGGUUGUUAAGCUACAGAGUAUCUUUAGCAGUGAUAUAUAAAGUUUACGGCCAAGGAAGUCGAAGGCAAAGUUGGUCCAGGUUCUAAUCCUCUCCCUCGGCCAUACUGGAAAAAUUUCAGCAUUUUGCUCCAACAUUUUUGGUUCAAUUCAACCCACAACUCAAGUGUUUCAUAUCUAUACCUCUUAUAAGACUUUAAACAACGUAAUUCAUGCAUGCUUCAAAGAAAAAUUUCAAAACCAAGCUGAGAUUCCAACUCAACCUUCGGCUAUCACAAAAGAAAUUCCAGCAUUUAUAUAUAUCAACAUUGUUGGUUCAAUCUUUCAAUAUAUCAAAUAUUUCAUCGCUAAACAACUUACACAACUUAAAAUUUACAUCUCUUAUGUAUUUCUAAACCAUUAUAUUCCAAGGGAAAAAUAAAAUAAAUUUCCAGAAACCAAUUAAAAUUUCCAAAGACAAACUGAAAAUUCUGGUUCAUACCUCUCGGCUAUCAAUACUUUUCCAGCACUUAGGGUUUUAUAAAUCCAACUUUUCCUUGGCUAAAACAUGGUUUUAGAUUAUCAAUUCGUCAUGUGAACCUUUGGCUAGCUAAUUAACAUUUCUGGUUCAAAAUCGAAUUCGAAUAACAACUACAAACAUCCCAAAAAUCCAGAAAUUUGUCCAGCUAGUCACGGAUGAGCAUGCAUGAAGAAUUUUUCUGUUUUCAUUUUAUUUUCUUGGUUAGCCGAGCUACUUAGCCUCAUGCAAGACUUAAUUACCUUAUUAUUAGUGAGGUAAUCACAUUUACCAGUUCAAAUUGUUACCAAAUAAACAGAUUAGUGCUGCCUUUUCAUUUCAGCUACUCGGCAGUCCAUUUCUUUCCAAAUCAAGGUUUCUUAUGCUUCAAAUUUAAUCAUCCAAUACGCACAAAUCAACAUGCAAAGCCACCUAAAGAAUUUACUUAUCAUAUCCAGUUCAAAACAGGUUCGGUCAGCAGCUAUACACAUCCACAAAUCCAGAAAUUCCUACAACUAUUCUCGGAUGAUCUUGCAUGCAGCAGGUUUUCUGGUUCAUCUUUAAUUUUCUGAGUUAAACCCGUUAAUUAGCUACAUGCAGAGCUUAAUCAUCUUGAAAUUUACUAGUUAAUCAUGGUUAGAGGCUCAAAACAGCAAAAUUAAACCAAAUGAAACGGCAUUAAAGCAGUCAGAUUCUCAGCAGAAACUUUUACUUCCAAAACAGAUUUUUCCACAACUUUGAUUUCAUCAUCCGACUGCACAAACAACACAUGCAAGCUCUGAUACAGCUUCAUCUACCAGCAAAUAGCUAUUCUAAGACUCGAAUUUACCUCAGCUAGCAACUCAGCUCACGCACAAGAAAGCUCUGAAAUUUCUCUCUCUCGGCUCACGCACAUUAUCUGGUCCUGAUUUUUGAUUUGCAGCUGGAAUGGUGUUGCGAUGAAGAUGGUUGCAGCUGGUGGAGGUUGAAAGGGAAACGGAGAAGACUCACGCACGACCUCUCCCUCACUUCCUUCAACUUACGGACAAAACCAGAAAAUUUGUUUUGCAGCUCACGGAUUCCCUCUCUCGGUUUGUAGAGUGCGUCUCUCUCUCACUCUCUCCCUUUGUCGACAAUAGUAAGGC
rnacentral:lncRNA from 1 species